UACGAAGGGGGCUAGCGUUGUUCGGAAUUACUGGGCGUAAAGCGCGCGCAGGCGGUCUUCCAAGUCAGUGGUGAAAGCCCGGAGCUCAACUCCGGAACUGCCAUUGAAACUGUAAGACUUGAGGACGAGAGAGGUGAGUGGAAUUCCCAGUGUAGAGGUGAAAUUCGUAGAUAUUGGGAAGAACACCGGUGGCGAAGGCGGCUCACUGGCUCGUAUCUGACACUCAGGCGCGACAGCGUGGGGAUCAAACAGG
rnacentral:rRNA from 1 species